AUACCACAGUGAAACAGCUUCACGUGCUUGGACUUCUGCUCAUCCUCGGCCUUGGGGUCCGCGCCCAAACUCAAAGUGAUAAGCCCGUGUGCGGACCGCCACCUGGAGGCCCACCACCGAAUGGUCCACCGCCGAAUGGACCUCCGCCGGAUUGCGUUCCACCGAGUGGUCUCCCACCAACAAAUUCUCCUUCAUAGUAGCUCUGUUAUAAAAAAAAUCCGCCAAACUACCAAUUCAAAUUUCGUGACUUAAUGACUUUGAUUUGUUCAUUUAGAAUCAAACAUUACAUUGUUUACUAAGAUAGAUUAAAUUAUCUGGCCAGCA